GACGAACGCUGGCGGCGUGCUUAACACAUGCAAGUCGAACGAUGAAGCCGGAGCUUGCUCUGGUGAAUUAGUGGCGAACGGGUGAGUAACACGUGAGUAACCUGCCCUUGACUCUGGGAUAACUGCGGGAAACUGUAGCUAAUACCGGAUACGACCCUCGGCGGCAUCCCCUGGGGGUGGAAAGAAUUUCGGUCAAGGAUGGACUCGCGGCCGAUCAGCUAGUUGGUGAGGUAAAGGCUCACCAAGGCGACGACGGGUAGCCGGCCUGAGAGGGUGACCGGCCACACUGGGACUGAGACACGGCCCAGACUCCUACGGGAGGCAGCAGUGGGGAAUAUUGCACAAUGGGCGCAAGCCUGAUGCAGCAACGCCGCGUGAGGGAUGACGGCCUUCGGGUUGUAAACCUCUUUUAGCAGGGAAGAAGCGAAAGUGACGGUACCUGCAGAAAAAGCACCGGCUAACUACGUGCCAGCAGCCGCCGUAA
rnacentral:rRNA from 1 species